rnacentral:rRNA from 1 species
GCCCCAGUAACGGCGAGUGAAGCGGCAACAGCUCAAAUUUGAAAUCUGGCUCCUCUGGGGGUCCGAGUUGUAAUUUGUAGAGGAUGCUUCGGGCAAGGCCGCGGUCUAAUUUGCUUGGAACAGCGAGUCACAGAGGGUGAGAGUCCCGUCUAGGACCGCGCGCCGCGUCCGUGUGAAGCUCCUUCGACGAGUCGAGUUGUUUGGGAAUGCAGCUCUAAAUGGGUGGUAAAUUUCAUCUAAAGCUAAAUAUUGGCCAGAGACCGAUAGCGCACAAGUAGAGUGAUCGAAAGAUGAAAAGCACUUUGAAAAGAGAGUUAAACAGUAUGUGAAAUUGUUGAAAGGGAAGCGCUUGCAACCAGACUUGCGUGUGACGGUUCCCCCCACCAUCUGGUGGGGCUACUCCGUCAUCUCCAGGCCAGCAUCGGUUUGGGUGGUCGGCCAAAGAUCCCGGGAAUGUAUCUACCUCCGGGUCGACUUAUAGCCCGGGGUGCAAUGCGGCCCACCCGGACCGAGGAACGCGCUUCGGCCCGGAUGCUGGCGUAAUGGUUGCAAGCGGCCCGUCUUGAAACACGGACCAAGGAGUCUAACAUCUAUGCGAGUGUCUGGGUGUCAAACCCCUACGCGUAAUGAAAGUGAACGGAGGUAAGAACCCCGCCAGGGGCGCAUUAUCGACCGAUCCUGAUGUCUUCGGAUGGAUUUGAGUAAGAGCAUAGCUGUUGGGACCCGAAAGGUAUGUUGCUCUGUCUCUCCACUUUUUUUCUUUGAUUCGAUCCGAUCCAAACGCUAACUUAUGUUUUUCAACAGAUGGUGAACUAUGCCUGAAUAGGGUGAAGCCAGAGGAAACUCUGGUGGAGGCUCGCAGCGGUUCUGACGUGCAAAUCGAUCGUCAAAUUUGGGCAUAGGGGCGAAAGUGAGUUUUUUAUCCCUCGAGCGAGAAAAAUUGAACAGACCCACUAACCCGUGAUUUCUAGGACCAAUCGAACCAUCGUUUAUCUUUAAGCGUUGCCAGGUGGUUAAUUUUCCUGACUUUCAGUUGGGCCAGUCUGGUACUUGGUAUUGGGCGACGUCGUCAGUCUUCGGGGAUGUCCUCGCGGCUAUCCGAAGCCGUUCUUAUGUUGGGACGGUUCACAGACUAGACAGUGACGGCCGGGGCCUCUUGACCGGGGCCGGUGAUUAUAUAGUCGAGUAAAGUUAUUGGAUCUUGCGAGUAUUUAACCAGAAUACUCGCAAUUCCGUAGCUUUUGAACGCUGGUAGCUGGUUCCUGUCGAAGUUUCCCUCAGGAUAGCAGUAACGUUUUCAGUUUUAUGAGGUAAAGCGAAUGAUUAGAGGCCUUGGGGUUGAAACAACCUUAACCUAUUCUCAAACUUUAAAUAUGUAAGAAGUCCUUGUUACUUAAUUGAACGUGGACAUUUGAAUGUAUCGUUACUAGUGGGCCAUUUUUGGUAAGCAGAACUGGCGAUGCGGGAUGAACCGAACGUGAGGUUAAGGUGCCGGAAUGUACGCUCAUCAGACACCACAAAAGGUGUCAAUGCAUCCAGACAGCCGGACGGUGGCCAUGGAAGUCGGAAUCCGCUUAGGAGUGUGUAGCCCCUGUUGCACACCACCAAUUCAACGUGAAUUAGUUGGGGGUUAUGCCCCCAACGAUGGCUCUAUUCGACUGGAAAUCCCUUCCCGGGACGACCGGUCGUGGAUCUCUGAUCCAUCUACAGACUAGAGUGAGCCGACCGUCCACCUGCGGGUGACGGUUAAGAUAUAGUCGAUCGGGAUCCUCCCACCCAAGAGGAUCCUCGGACGAGAACAACUCACCGGCCGAAUGCAUUGGCCCUGAAAAUGGAUGGCGCUUAAGCGUGCUACCUAUACCUCGCCGUUGGGGUUGAAAUGAUGCCCCAACGAGUAGGCAGGCGUGGGGGUUCGUGACGAAGCCU